GCGGGGAAUAUUGGACAAUGGGCGAAAGCCUGAUCCAGCCAUGCCGCGUGUGUGAAGAAGGUCUUCGGAUUGUAAAGCACUUUAAGUUGGGAGGAAGGGCAGUAAGUUAAUACCUUGCUGUUUUGACGUUACCGACAGAAUAAGCACCGGCUAACUUCGUGCCAGCAGCCGCGGUAAUACGAAGGGUGCAAGCGUUAAUCGGAAUUACUGGGCGUAAAGCGCGCGUAGGUGGUUUUGUAAGUUGGAGGUGAAAUCCCCGGGCUCAACCUGGGAACUGCCUCCAAAACUGCAUGACUAGAGUACGGUAGAGGGUAGUGGAAUUUCCUGUGUAGCGGUGAAAUGCGUAGAUAUAGGAAGGAACACCAGUGGCGAAGGCGACUACCUGGACUGAUACUGACACUGAGGUGCGAAAGCGUGGGGAGCAAACAGGAUUAGAAACCCCUGUAGUCC
rnacentral:rRNA from 1 species